UGGCGGGAGGGUGAGUAAUGUCUGGGAAACUGCCUGAUGGAGGGGGGUAACUACUGGAAACGGUAGCUAAUACCGCAUAACGUCGCAAGACCAAAGAGGGGGACCUUCGGGCCUCUUGCCAUCGGAUGUGCCCAGAUGGGAUUAGCUAGUAGGUGGGGUAAAGGCUCACCUAGGCGACGAUCCCUAGCUGGUCUGAGAGGAUGACCAGCCACACUGGAACUGAGACACGGUCCAG
rnacentral:rRNA from 1 species